AUGAAUGACCCUCUGGGCCUUCAACCCCAAAAAACCGUGGAAUUGACCCGUGCUUCGACGCCCCCGUGGCGUCGCAUUAAUGCAAUCGAUCUGUCUGUGUCUGAAUCUGAUCUAGAAUUA
rnacentral:misc_RNA from 1 species